rnacentral:rRNA from 1 species
AACCUCCGCAAUGUGAGAAAUCGCGACGGGGGGAUCCCAAGUGCCAUUCUUAACGGGAUGGCUUUUCUUAAGUGUAAAAAGCUUUUGGAAUAAGAGCUGGGCAAGACCGGUGCCAGCCGCCGCGGUAACACCGGCAGCUCUAGUGGUAGCUGUUUUUAUUGGGCCUAAAGCGUUCGUAGCCGGUUUGAUAAGUCACUGGUGAAAUCCUGUAGCUUAACUGUGGGAAUUGCUGGUGAUACUGUUGAACUUGAGGUCGGGAGAGGUUAGCGGUACUCCCAGGGUAGAGGUGAAAUUCUGUAAUCCUGGGAGGACCACCUGUGGCGAAGGCGGCUAACUGGAACGAACCUGACGGUGAGGGACGAAAGCUAGGGGCGCGAACCGGAUUAGAUACCCGGGUAGUCCUAGCCGUAACGAUGCGGACUUGGUGUUGGGAUGGCUUGAGCUGCUCCAGUGCCGAAGGGAAGCUGUUAAGUCCGCCGCCUGGGAAGUACGGUCGCAAGACUGAAACUUAAAGGAAUU